AGGGUUCGAUUCUGGCUCAGGAUGAACGCUGGCGGCGUGCUUAACACAUGCAAGUCGAACGGGAUCCAUCAGGCUUUGCUUGGUGGUGAGAGUGGCGAACGGGUGAGUAAUGCGUGACCGACCUGCCCCAUACACCGGAAUAGCUCCUGGAAACGGGUGGUAAUGCCGGAUGCUCCGACUCCUCGCAUGGGGGGUCGGGAAAGAUUUCAUCGGUAUGGGAUGGGGUCGCGUCCUAUCAGGUAGUCGGCGGGGUAACGGCCCACCGAGCCUACGACGGGUAGCCGGCCUGAGAGGGCGACCGGCCACAUUGGGACUGAGAUACGGCCCAGACUCCUACGGGAGGCAGCAGUGGGGAAUAUUGCACAAUGGGCGCAAGCCUGAUGCAGCGACGCCGCGUGCGGGAUGACGGCCUUCGGGUUGUAAACCGCUUUUGAUCGGGAGCAAGCCUUCGGGUGAGUGUACCUUUCGAAUAAGCACCGGCUAACUACGUGCCAGCAGCCGCGGUAAUACGUAGGGUGCAAGCGUUAUCCGGAAUUAUUGGGCGUAAAGGGCUCGUAGGCGGUUCGUCGCGUCCGGUGUGAAAGUCCAUCGCUUAACGGUGGAUCUGCGCCGGGUACGGGCGGGCUGGAGUGCGGUAGGGGAGACUGGAAUUCCCGGUGUAACGGUGGAAUGUGUAGAUAUCGGGAAGAACACCAAUGGCGAAGGCAGGUCUCUGGGCCGUUACUGACGCUGAGGAGCGAAAGCGUGGGGAGCGAACAGGAUUAGAUACCCUGGUAGUCCACGCCGUAAACGUUGGGCACUAGGUGUGGGGGCUCUUUCCGGGGUUUCCGCGCCGUAGCUAACGCAUUAAGUGCCCCGCCUGGGGAGUACGGCCGCAAGGCUAAAACUCAAAGGAAUUGACGGGGGCCCGCACAAGCGGCGGAGCAUGCGGAUUAAUUCGAUGCAACGCGAAGAACCUUACCUGGGCUUGACAUGUUCCCGACAGCCGUAGAGAUAUGGCCUCCCUUCGGGGCGGGUUCACAGGUGGUGCAUGGUCGUCGUCAGCUCGUGUCGUGAGAUGUUGGGUUAAGUCCCGCAACGAGCGCAACCCU
rnacentral:rRNA from 1 species